UUAAAAUUUUGUUCACAGUUUUUAUUCUGUUCAUAUGCUAAAAAUACCUAAAAUUUUUGUCUUUGUUUUAAAAUAUAUUUAACAUUCUUUUGUUUGCUUAUAGCAUUCUAGUUUUGAAGAGAAAGGAUCAGAAAAAUUAUCACAAGGAAAAAGUUCACCGCAACAGCAAAAUUCAAGUAAAAAAGAGCUUUCAGCUUUAGAUAGUCUGGUUAUUUCUGCAAUUCAUCAGUUGUCCAUAAAAUUACGUACAAGAGCUCGUUGCUUAUUAGAAAAAGAAGGGCAAAAAUAUUCAGAGAAAAGUGAUAUUCGAUUAAUGAUU